CAAUGUAAACUUAAUCACACGCUUUGGGCACACUACAAAAGAUCAGUAAUUUGUUUCUUUCAACCAUUUAAGUGCAUGUUAAACAACCACAAAAACUUGUUGUCAAUUCCGCACACAUUUCUUACAUUUCUUCUCUCUCUCUCGUUUCGUUUCGUUCAUUUUCGUUGCGGCAUUGCAGCGUGGCAUGCAACAUUCAGCAGCCUAAUGCGCUGGGCGUGUCAAGUUUGGCCGUGCGCCUGUUGGCGCCGCGUUGAGCCAACAACACGCCAAACAAACAACUUGACAACGCUUUCGAUUUAGUUAUUAUUUAAGCAACAUUUUCUUUAUUAUUUUUUGUUUUCGGUUUGUGUAAUGCAUAAUUUGAAAGGCAACAAAAAAAGAAAAAAGGUUUAACGCGAUUUUGACAUGCAACAUUUUAUGUUAUGCUUGGGGUUAAAAGCCACAAACAACAAAAAAGUAUAUGUAUUGAAAGGACAAACCAAUCGAAAGCAAACGAAUAAAAGAAUUCUAAUUGAGGAGCUGAACGUGCGAGACAACAGCAACAGCAGCAGCCACAGCAACCGCAACAGCAGCAGCCAGAGCAACCACAGCAGCAGCAGCAGCAGCGAAAUGUUGCUGAUAGCAAUCAACAUCAAUUAAAACAGCUGUCUGUCUCGCUUGCCCUGCUCGUUGUUGUUGUU